AUUUAUUUCAGCAGUGUGUGAGGACGAUAAAUUCUUUGCUUCCGGUGUGUUUGUUUAUAUGUUCUUGUAUUUUAUGUGUAAAAUGCUCUCAUGAGAGAAGCAUUGUGUUCUUGACGAGGUGAGGCUUUCUCGUAGAGAUCCUCCACGUCAAACUAGUAGAUUAGAGGUUCGAGACACAACGAGGGUUAAGUGAUGAAUCAG
rnacentral:misc_RNA from 1 species